UUCCUCGCGUCAGGAUGAACGCUAGCGGCAGGCCGUAAUACAUGCAAGUCGAACGAGAUUGGGGUAGCGUUGCUCCCCCAUGAGAGUGGCGUACGGGUGGCGUAACGCGUGAGCAACCUACCGUUGUCUGGGGAGUAGCCCGGAGAAAUCCGGAUUAAUACCGCAUAACAUCAGUUUUCAGCAUUGUGAACUGAUCAAACAUUUAUGGGACAGCGAUGGGCUCGCGUGACAUUAGCUAGUUGGAGUGGUAACGGCACACCAAGGCGACGAUGUCUAGGGGAUCUGAGAGGAUGACCCCCCACACUGGGACUGAGACACGGCCCAGACUCCUACGGGAGGCAGCAGUAAGGAAUAUUGGUCAAUGGAGGCAACUCUGAACCAGCCAUGCCGCGUGCAGGAAGAAUGCCCUCUGGGUUGUAAACUGCUUUUAUACGGGAAUAAACCCCACUACGUGUAGUGGGCUGAAUGUACCGUAGGAAUAAGGAUCGGCUAACUCCGUG
rnacentral:rRNA from 1 species